rnacentral:rRNA from 1 species
UACGAAGGGGGCUAGCGUUGCUCGGAAUCACUGGGCGUAAAGCGCACGUAGGCGGAUUGCUAAGUCAGGGGUGAAAUCCUGGAGCUCAACUCCAGAACUGCCUUUGAUACUGGCGACCUUGAGUCCGGGAGAGGUGAGUGGAAUUCCCAGUGUAGCGGUGAAAUGCGUAGAUAUUGGGAGGAACACCAGUGGCGAAGGCGGCUCACUGGACCGGAACUGACGCUGAGGCGCGAAAGCGUGGGGAGCAAACAGG